AUUACAUGUAUUAUUCUAUAUUAUUAUUAAGAGGAUACAUAAGCACAUUUACAUUGAAGAAGAUGAGAAUAAUGAUUUGAUCAAGAGUUGGACAGUCUUAUCUUAAAUCUGAGCUUUAUGUAAGUAUUCAAAAACAUUUAAUCUACUGAUGCCUCAAUUAACGUAAUUUUAUUGGUAUCUAUUUUUAUUUCUGAAAUUUACCACCCUCAGCUUAUACUGGAGUCAGAGUUUUCCCAGUUUUUUUGUGGUAAAAUUAGGUGCCUCGGCUUAUAUUUGGGUCGGCUUAUACUCGAGUAUAUACGGUACUUCAUAGUCCUUAAAGCAGACAAAAGCCUGGUGUGGAUCUAUGGAAGAGAUCAAUUGCUUGACAUCCAUACUAUUAAUGUAUUAGAGUUGCCACCUCUUUAUUUCUCCUACAUUGAAACCAAAAUAGCAGAUAAAUAUAAUAUACCCAUUUCCAUGCUUGGAAUAAUGCAGAGGUGGACCUCCAGACCUCAAGUUUACAAACCACCAAUUCCCAGCACCAAAUAUUUGAAAGAAAAACAGUGUGAUAUUGAGACAAUUCUUGCCUGAAAAUCACAUAGAAAAUCUGCCCAUACACCUAAAAAUCCUUGAAAACACCUCCAUUCUAUCCGUACAACUCUUUAGAACUGCUUACUAUCCCCAAAUCCCCCACGUUUCUCUGUGACCCAUCUCCAAAUAGAAAAAAGGAGGGAGUAAAUGGGAGAUUUGAACAGGCAGUGUAUGACUAGUAUUCAAAUCAGCAUGAAGGUGAACAAUUUUGACCUCACAACGUUUAAGGAAAACCAACAAAGCAAGUCCGGGAGAGCUCCAAGACUGAGUUCACUGGAGUCAAUGAAAGCAACUCCCAAGCCACUCCCCUAAACCAUUUAACACAUUUCAUUAAUAAACCUGACCCUCAGUUCUGUUCACAUCAGCCCUUGAGGCUUUCCGGUUCACUUUGCAGCGUAGUCUCAGAUUUAUCAUGUGUGGAGGCUGUUCCCAGCAGAUUGGGGACAGAGAAUCUCAUUGCUCCUGUAAAAUUUUGCAAUGUAAAAUAUUGAAUAAAAUGAAUCUCAAGACCGAGAGUUAGAAGAAGUCUCCAACUUGACAGUUCUUCUUCUCCUUUUUAAUCAAUUCCUCGGGGGAAGGCCUUUGACAGCUACGUACAACUUUCAGAAGGCGCUUCCUUGACUCCCUUCACCCACUCCAAAGUGUGAGUCCUGUGCAGACAUUCAUUAAGUGUACCAAUGGAUGCAUCGGGCGAUGCAUCGGGAUGAGGGUUUCCUCUCUCUGCCCUCCGAACCUACAGCUCUCUGCAUAUUCACCCCCAAAAUGGGGGUCAUUGAUUGCACAUUGGGAAACAUUGCAUUCAAAGAAAAAUACACAUUGAGAGCUCAGUGGAAAUGGGACCUAGCAUAUAUGAAGGCCAGUGGAAGGAUUGGGUGUUUUAAUGUGAAUUGCCCUCUAUAUAUCAUUUCAUAGGAGUACAGAAUAUCAAGACAAAAUUCUUGAUAUAACAAAUUAUGUUGGAGCAGGUGGUUAGUGACUUCAGUGUUACAUAUAUGUGCCUUCAUAUUGUCAGUUAAAUUAUGGUGAUCCCAUGAAUUUCAGAGGCAAGGAAUAUCAACGCUGGUUUUGUCAGCUCCUUCCUCUGUAAUGUGGCAUACAUUAUCCAGAAUUCCUUGGUGGUUUCCCACCCAAAUAUUCACUCUGCUUAGCUUUCAAGAUCAGAUGGAACCUGAAGCCUUUAGGCUAGUGAUUCUCAACUUGUGGAUCACCAGAUGUUUCGGCCAGAAAUCCUAACACCUGGUAAAUUUGUAGUUGUAGGCCAAAACAUCUGAGGACCCACAGGUUGAGAACCACUACUUUAGGAUAUUUAAGUUGCUUUUAACGUGGCAGCCAAUUUGUUUUGGGUUUUAAGAAGCCAUCCAUGGUGCUGACUUGUACCAUCAAGGUCUAGCAUUUGGACAGCUCCUUUAGACUAAUGUGUUUAAACACAUUGCAGAUGAAACUCUAAAUCAGCAGCAGUCUCCUGUUCUGUUCUGGACUGCUGUAAGAAUGUUGUGUUUAUAUUAUAGAAAGUAAUGCAGUGGAUUAUUAUGUCAAGUUACAUAGUGUGAGUAUUAAAGAAGGUAAAGGUUUCCCCUGCCGUUAAGUCCAGUUGUGACCGACUCUGGGGGUUAGUGCUCAUCUCCAUUUCUAAGCCGAAGAGCCGGCAUUGUUCGUAGACAUCUCCAUGUGGCCGGCAUGACUGCAUGGAGUGCCGUUACCUUCCCACCGGAGCAAUACCUAUUAAUCUACUCACAUUUGCAUGUUUUCAAACUGCUAGUUUGGCAGGAGCUGGGGCUAACAGCGGCCUCUCAUUCCGCUCCCGGGAUUUGAACCUGGGACCUUUUGGUCCGCAAGUUCAGCAGCUCAGCGCUUUAACACACUGUGCCACCAGGGGCCCCUAGUGUGAGUAUUAGAUGAAGUAAAUUAAGUCGUCUUUUGGAUGAGGUUAAGAGCAUUAAAUGUUUCCUGGUAGAGGUGUGAGUUUGUUAGGACACUUUAGUUAGAGGUGACCAGUGAAGAGUUAGAGCCAGGAAGGCAGUCAAAACAGUCAGGGAUUGGUUGAUCAGAGCUUAGAGUAUGUUUGAAACAGGUAAAUUAGAACAGAGCUGACAUUUUGGAGUGGUUUGAGUGUUGUCCUAGGACUCAAUCUUUGCUCUAUGUCCUAAUGUUCUGCUGAUCCAGAUACUAGGAUAUGUACCAAUGCAUUCAAACUACAUCGACAAAUAUUUUAUGUAAGAACCUCCUGAUGGUAAGAACCAUCUGAUAGUAGGGUGUGGUGGAGUCUCCUCUGGAUUUUUUAAAACAGAAGCAGGAUGGCCAUCUGUUGCUAAUGCUUCAAUAGUGACUUCCUGCUAGUGGUUCUCAACCUGUGGGUCCCCAUGUGUUUUAGCCCACAAGUCCCAGAAAUACCAGCCAGUUUACCAGCUGUUAGGAUUACUGGGAGUUAAAGGCCAAAACAUCUGGGGACCCACAGGUUGAGAACCACUGGGCUAGGCAGAGGAAGUUUGACUGGAUGGGCCUUGUGGUCUCUUCAAACUAUGAUUCUAUGAAAACUUGCUAAGAAAACCUCCUGAUUUUGAGGCUGAAGUAAAAGAACAACAACAGCAACAGAAUCUCACUAGAAAGGUGUUAUUUCUACUCUUAUGUUUAACUUCUGGGAGAUGUUGACUGUAGAGCUGCACUAAAGGACUUAGAUGUUCUUCGAAAGGACAUUUUAAAUAAAUGACUAAUCAAAUCCACAAAGGUCACACUUGCAAAUGUAAAAUGUUGACUGUAUAUAUGAAAUGGAUAAGGUGAGACCUUGUUGGUUGCUUCUUUUCUUCUGCAUCAGUUGGAUACUCCUUUCCAGUGUUUCUUUAUUCCUUUAUAUCUCUUUAAUUACAGCGGUAGAGACGCAUAUAAAAAUGCUGCUGGAUAAUAAAACUCAGAUAACACACUCGGCUCAAUGUAUGUAGAGUCAGAGUAAAUUUACGGAUGUAUCUGUCUUGUCUUCAUUAUAUGGCAAUGGUAUUUUGUGUGAAGCCGAUACAGCAAGAGGAACAUAAACCUCGUGUUUAUGUGUCUCCCCUCUUUUUUUGCUAUUAUAUAUCCAGUUUUAAAUUUUUAUGGCAUUUCAUGGGGUGGAACUACUGCCAACGCUGCAUGUCUGAAACCCUGGAGACCACUUUUGCUCUGCUAAGGGGUGUCAGGAAGGGAAGAUUUGUAGGAAAGAUGGUGCUUAACCCUUCUCCUCCAUGGCCUUUCCAUUGUAGCUCCUCUGUUCAGCUCUCCCACCCCAUAAUGUAUCUGAGAUCCAGGUUUGCAUUGCAAUGUCCACAAUAAUAUUAUUCAUUUAUACUCCACAUUCCUCCCAAUAAUAAGACUCAAGGUGGCUGAUAUAUUUAAAAACCAUAUGGAUUAGAUACUAUACAAAAAUCCAAGAAAAGUACAACUAUAAAAGCUAUCUUAAAACAAUUAAGCAAUGUAUACAGUUAAAAACAUUACAACUGUGCUAAAAAGCCCUUCCCAGUCAGUUUCUGAAAGACCAAUGAGAAAAAAUAUUUUCAGUUGUGGAUAAAAGGAGACCAAAAGGAAGCCACCCUAGUCUUUCCCAGGAAGGAGUUCCAAAGUCUGGAAACAGCUUCUGAGAAUACCUUUUUUCAUUGUUCAAACCAAAGGAGCUUGAGAUGGUGUUGUGACAGAAAAAAAAAACUAUCUGCAGAUGUUUUUUAAUUGAUUCAUGAAGGGAAGGAUGGUCCUUCAAACAGUCUGUACCCAGCUUUAUAGAUCAUCGCCAAGUCAUGAGUUGGACCAAACCUUCAUGAAAGAAGAAGCUACUGAAUUUCCCCUACUCACAGAAUCAUAGAAUUCAAAAAGACUACAAGGGCUAUCUGCUCCAAUUCCAUUCUUCUAUACACAAUGGCAACAGUCUGCCAGAUGACCAUUUAAAGAUGGUUUAAAGAUAUCUAGAGAUGGUAUCUCCACCACACUGGCAGGCAGUGUGUUCCACCAUCAAACAGGUCAUUAUGGAUCUAAUAUCUCCUUCUAGGGAGCCCCUGGUGAUGCAGUGGUUAAACCACUGAGCUGCAGAACUUGCUGAUUGGAAGGUCAGUGGUUUGAAUCCGUGGAUGGGGUGAGCUCCCAUUGUUAGCCACAGCCUCCGCCAACCAAGCAGUUCAAAAACAUGCAAAUGUGAGCAGAUCAAUAAGUACCACUUCAGCGGGAAGGUAAUGGUGCUCCAUGCAGUCGUGCCGGCCAUGUGACCUUGGAGGUGUCUAUGGACAACGCUGGCUCUUCAGCUUAGAAAUGGAGAUGAGCACUCACCCCCAGAGUUGGACAUGACUAGGAGAAAAUAUUUACCUUUACCUAUCUCCUUCUAGGCAAGAUGCUAUUUGGAUUUAGGGACAAGGCAUGGAGGUUAAGAGUUUAAGCAUUUAGCUUCUUGCCAGCAAUGGUGGCUAGGGGAUCCAAUGUCAGUGAGGGGAUAAACCCUUUCCACGAGGUUUCAAUAGAGCAGUGGUUUUUAACCAGUGGUUUUUAACCUGGGGUACCCAGAUGUUUUUGGCCUACAACUCCCAGAAAACUCCCAGCUGUUAGGAUUUCUGGGAGUUGAAGGCCAAAAACAUCUGGGGACCCCAGGUUGGGAACCAUUGCAAUCAAGGCUGAAGCCUCCAAGGUACAAAAGUCUCACUCCAAAUAGGUUCAGUACCUUGGAGAGUUCCUUCAAAGCUAUUCAACAACCAAAGCAUGAUUCACAACUCGACUAACAUAGAAGCCUCCAUAGUCUACCUGAGUUGAAGCAUUUCCUCCCUCGUGUUGUCGAAGGCUUUCAUGGCCAGGAUCACAGGGUUGUUGUAUGUUUUCUGGGCUGUGUGGCCAUGUUCCAGAAGUAUUCUCUCCUGACGUCAGCCCGAAAAACAUGCAACAACCCUAUUUCCUCCCUCCUCCAAGACUCCUUUCCAGUAAAACCAAGCAACAGCCAGAGAAGUUUGAUUAUGGGUCUCCUGUGUUAUGUUGGCUUGGCCUUUUGGCUUGAGAACUUGGAGAAAGUGUUUCUCGAAAUGAUGCGGCAUAAAGGAUAAGCAGGGUCAAGACUGGGCUUUAAUUGAAGUCUCCUCCCUCUUUCCUCAGAGUGGAAAUCGUUUGAGGCACUAAAAGGCCAAGGUGUACGAGGAGGGGAGACAAUAAUGCCUUUUUCUUGACUCCCCUCAUGUCACACUCAUUAUUUGGAAGGAACAAUGCCAACUGAUAAUGAGCUCUUUUCUAUUCAACGCUGCGAGUCAAAUUUUCGUUUCUCAUUAAUAAUUCAAUGUGACAAAUUUAUUACCUUGAAGGUGCUGUGAGGCAAUUAGACAAUGGGAAAUUGUGUCUUCCUUUCAGCCCCCUUAAUUGGCUUUCAAGUGUGACAUUCAUCAAAACCUUGAGUUUUUAUGUAAACCUUUCACGGCGGGGAAGGAGUGACGGACUCGAAAUACCAGGAUGAGGAGCAUUGGGUGGAGCUCAACUGGACAGCAAGUUCACUCUCUCCUGAAAGGCAAGAGGAUGUCACGAGAGAAAGAGUGGAACGAGGAAGACAAAAGAUGGAAAGCCCUUUUGGGAUAGGUGUCAACAGAGGAAUUAUUGUAGUUUCAAUUUUAUUUGUGUUUUGUGUAUUUCGUGCCACUAUCUCUGCAGGACAAAGUCUCCAUGAGCCAUACAGUCAUCAGAGAACCAUAUAGAUGAGAUACAAUAUAUAGCUCCAAUUUCUUCUGCAACCUACCUCUCUGCAAUUGAGGUGUGUUCUACAGCCUGGAGAGAUCAGCAGGUGAUCAAACAGUGUCCAUUCAUAUUUCUGUAGCCAUCCAUCCAAAUGAAUGCAAUAUUCUUCCUUUGUGUGGCUUUAGUUUUGAUUUUUUGGGGAGGGGUCGGAGUUAUAGUGUUGGGAUCGAGAAGCUCCCAUAAAACCUCUCACUUCAACCUCACCCCACUUGAAGGCCUUCAAAACUGCAAAACUUCAGUGAGGGUAUGGGGUUUCAAGGGAGUUUCGAAUGCAGCACAUGGUUCAUUGUGAUGGAGAGGUUUGGUAGGAUUUUUGUGGGGUUCGUGCAUCGCUGGUCUAACAAUCCCUUAAGCCAGUGGUUCUCAACCUGUGGGUCCACAGAUAUUUUUGGCCUACAACUCCCAGAAAUCCCAGCGAGUUAUAGCGUUAUUAGGGAAAAGAGAGGAAACGGGAAACAAAAGAAGCAAUAAUUGAAUGUGCACAAGCAGUAAUAGUAUUAGGGUGGAAAGAUAAAUCAAAAUGGACAGUAAAUAAAUGGUACCAAUUUAUGGUGGAGCAAAUGGAAUUUGAAAUUAUGAAUGUGAAAUUAAAUGUUUUAAAAACUAAUGAAAAUAGAACAAGAGAAAUGGAAGAAAGAUGGACAAGGGUAAAUAACUACAGUAGAGUCUCACUUAUCCAACACUCACUUAUCCAACAUUCUGGAUUAUCCAACGCAUUUUUGUAGUCAAUGUUUUCAAUACAUCGUGAUAUUUUGGUGCUAAAUUCAUAAAUACAGUAAUUACUACAUAGCAUUACUGUGUAUUGAACUACUUUUUCUGUCAAAUUUGUCAUAUAACGAUGUUUGGGUGCUUAAUUUAUAAAAUCAUAACCUAAUUUGAUGUUUAAUAGGCUUUUCCUUAAUCUCUCCUUAUUAUCCAACAUAUUCGCUUAUCCAACGUUCUGCUGGCCUGUUUAUGUUGGAUAAGUGAGACUCUACUGUACAUCAUGAAUCAAUCCAGAGAUCAAGCCAUAAGAAAUAAGAUGCAAAUGUUAUAUAGUAUAUAGAAUGGAAAUGUAUAAAGAUAAAGAUAUAAAGAUUGUCUCAAAAAGAAAUGAAUAUGUAAAUGAAAACAUGUUGGUGGUGGAAAUUGUAAAUGUUUUGUAUGUGUACAAUAUGUGUUUUUUGUGUUUUAAAAAAUAAAAAUUCGUUUAAAAAAGAAAGAAAUCCCAGCGAGUUUACCACCUAUUACAAUUUCUGGGAAUUGAAGGCCAAAACAUCUGGGGACCUGCAGGUCGGGAACCACUGCCUUAAGCAAUUCCUUGUCUUGCAUUUUCUGCAAUGUGAUUCAUUCUGUAAUACUCCAUUCUGUCACUAGGUGGCAAUAAAGCACAUCAUAGCACUUAAAUAGCUUGUAUACCCCAAGAAACAGCAAACACUUCAAUGGAACACAGCAUUUGCCUCCGCUGUAAAAGGAACAUUGAAAUCUAUUUUUUGGUUUCUUGUUUGUUUUUCUCAGGGAUUUUAUUAGAUGUUUGUAUGGGCUCCUCUGACGACUGAUCACUGUGUUGAUCAGCCGUAUAUUUCAAUUCACUGUGGUGUGUACUCAGAAUAUAAUAAGUCAAAGAGGACAGAGUGCAUGAUUAAAACAAAACAAAACAAUCCUAGAAAGGGUCUAAAUAUUUGCUGGAAAAGUUGUGUUCAAUGCAUUUAUUAGAUUUUCCAGAUGGAAGUUCAAAGCUGCGUGUUUAUUUUCCAUUGGAUAAACAGCUGGGGUUUCUUUAUUCAGAUUCAGUUAUGAUCAUUGAUGUCACUAUAAGCAGUUGAAACUGGGCCAGUGAUAUCCAAAUCUAUUGCUAAAGGUAUAAAAGGGGUCAUUAAAUCAGAUCUAGAAAAAGUGGGAGCUAUGAUGACUACAAAAUAAUAAUUUUGGGGGGAAAAAGUCAUAUACUGAGAAGAUUCUUGAUUGUCCUUCUUUCUUGGUAGAAGGAAGUAAGAGUGUGUUUACAUUGUGGAAUUAAUGCAGUUCAGCGCCACUUUAAUAGCUGUGGCUAGCACAACGGGUUAAAUUGUCAGCUAUAGAAGAUCUUGCCAACCGGAAGAUUGGCAGUUCAAGCUGUGGGUUGGGGUGAGCUCCUGCUGUCAGCCCUAGCCUUUGCUUACAGUUUGAAAAUAGCAAUGUGAGUAGAUAAAUAGGUACUGCUUUAGCAGGAAGGUAAAAAGGCACUCCUGAAGACAUGCUGGCAAUUCAAUUAGGAAGGUGUCCACGGACAACAGGCUCCUCAGUGUGGAAAAAUGAAACAACAGUACUUCCCCAUGGCCAAGUUGAGCACAACCUCCGGAUGCCGGAGAUGAAAAAAAACGGAAGUCUUGCUUUUAUGUAAUGUCUGUCUUUGUUAUCAAUUGCAUAAUGGUAUUGAAUGUUUUCCAUAUAUGUACCCUGAAAUCCGCUCUAAGCCACCUCGGGGAAAUAGAGAGGAAUAUCAAUAAGGUUUAUUAUUAUUAUUAUUAUUAUUAUUAUUAUUAUUAUUAUUAUUCAAUACAAUCAUGGGAGCUGUGGUUUUAUCAGAUCUUGAGCCUUCUCUACCAAAGAGUGCUUAUGUCUUAGCAAACUACAACUCCCAGGAGUCCAUAGCAUUGAGCCAGUGUAGUUAAACUGCAUUAAUUCUAUAGUUUAGAUGAAUGAUGCAGUGGAAAGAUUUCCAUGUGCUGCUAAUUCACCGAUUCCAUAGCAUCAAACUAUAGCAUUUAAAGUGGUGUCAAACUGCAUUAAUUCUACAGUGUAGAUAAAAGGUAAAGGUUUUCCCCUGACAUUAAGUCCAGUCGUGUCUGAUUCUGGGGGUUGGUGCUCAUCUCCAUUUCUAAGCCGAAGAGCAGGCGUUGUGUGUAGACACCUCCAAGGUCAUGUGGCCGGCAUGAUUGCAUGGAGCGCUGUUACCUUCCCGCUGGAGUGGUACCUAUUGAUCUACUCACAUUUGCAUGUUUUCGAACUGCUAGGUUGGCAGAAGCUGGGGCUAACAGCUGGAGCUCACCCCGCUCCCCAGAUUCGUUCCACUGUGCCACCAGGGGAUCCAAUUCCACAGUGUAGAUGCACCCAAAGAUUUAGUAAUAAGUUACAAAGGCAUAUAUUGCGUUUCUGGAUGAGGGCUAUUACUUUUGUCAUCCUGCCUAUAGCAAUGUGUUUUUCUUUGCAUCUAUUUGUGUGCCUCCCAAAUAACCACCCUUUCAAUCUUUUUGCUCCAUUAAAACUACCAUUAAAACCUCAGAAUUGCACUUCCUUUGGCAGGACAAAAACAGGAGCAGGAGGGAGCGGAGUGGGGAUUGAAGGUCACUGUUGCAUUCGGCUUUUCCAGUAAAGGCCUGCCUUGUAAAUUAUUCAGACGCUCGGAUCAAUCCAUCCUCCCUGCCCUGCACUCAGGGUUGGAUGCCGAAAAGAAAAGGUUUAACAGCAGCAGCAAUAAUAAUAUUAAUUUGAAAAACUAGCAGGACGCAAAGAGAAAGUCGUUCCCUCUGCAACCUUCGGCGUGAAUCGAAACCUGAGGCUCAGGGAUGUAGAAUCAAUAUUUGGUUUCUGUGAGAAACAUUGCAAAGCUUCCAAUUAGGAGGGGGGGAAAUAGAUGAUGAUGAUAAUAAUAAUACACAAAAGCACAAUAAUAAUAAUAAUGCACAAAAGGAAUGGGCUAAAUAUAACCAUCUAGAGCUCUUGGAUGAUGUGUGUGUAAAUGUCCCCACUGCUGCCUAACAAAUGAGAGCAUUUUUUAUGCACAUAUCAAAGUUCAACUUGAUUGUCUCAUAAGGGGGGAGGCAAGACCAUCUGUUUGGGUUCUCAAAAUAAUCUGCAUAAUUGACUUUCAAACAAGCUUCAAAGAACAAGACAUUUAUCACCCUAAUUGUGAGAGGCAGGCGGUGCAUCUCUGCUCUUUUCUUAAGACAACCCCAAUGGAAAGGAGCAGCUCUUUUGAUGGCUAGGCUGGCCCUCUAUUGCUUACCAUCGAGAGGCAAGGUGGGUCUCUGGAAAACGUCAAGUGAGAUGAUUAGAUAUGAGAAACAAAGGAAACCGAACCAUGUGGACUCAGUCAAAGUCUUGGGAAUACGUUGAAGGUGCAGCCAUGAUAAACCAAUGAUGAACCUGACUUAUGAUAAACCAAUGAUGAACCUAUCUUGGAAGUUUCUUUGGUUGAGAGUGUGCGACUCAACUGAGGCUUUUAUGGUUGAGCAGGAAAUCCAUCCCUGAUGUCUAGACUAAUAAAAUUGCUUCCAAUGGACCAAACUGAUUUUAUUGUAUGCUGUCUUUAAGGUAAAGGUUUUCCCCUGACUUUAAGUCUAGUCGUGUGUUUGGUGCUAACGCAAUUCUAGCCCAAAGAACCGGUGUUGUCUGUAGACACCUCCAAGGUCAUGUGGCCGGCAUGACUAUACAUGGAGCGCCGUUACCUUCCCACUGGAGUGGUACCUAUUGAUCUACUCACAUUUGCAGGUUUUCGAACUGCUAGGUUGGCAGAAGCUGGGGCUAACAGUGGGCGCUCACUCCGCUCCCUGGAUUAGAACCUGUGACCUUUUGGUCUGCAAGUUCAGCGGCUCAGCACUUUAACAUGCUGCAACACCUAGGGCUCCUUAUAUCGGUGAAUUUCUGUGAGUUCUUUGGGCUGUAUGGCUAUGCUCCAGAAGUAUCCAGAGUGUGAUUUACCCAUCAUCACCCAAUAGGUUUCUUGACUGAACAGGGAACUAAACUCUGAUCUCCAGAGUCAGUAUCCAACCCUCAAACCACUAUGCCAUAAUGGCUCACGAUCUGAAAUUGGUAUAUGAAGAGGUAGCAUCCAAACAAGAUGUAGCCGUGAUCUCUAAACCUGUGCCUGUAUGUUAGUGAGAGGGUACAUUCACACUAUAGAAUGAAUACAGCCUGACACUACUUGAAGUGCCAUGGCUCAGUGCUAUGGAAUCCUGGGAGCUGAAGCUUGGUGUGUAACACUUCUUGGCUUGAGUGUUAGGCGCAUCUAUACUGUAGAUGCAGUUUGACAUCACUUUUACAGCUAUGGCUCAAUGUUAUGGAUUUGUGGGAGAAGAUUUUUGAUUUUCUGCUGUUGAAAGCUUCCAUGGCUGGAGUCACUGGGUUGCUGUGAGUUUUCCUGUCUGUAUGACCAUGAAGCAGCUUCAAUGCCUUGCUGCUUCCUGCCUGGGGGAAUCCUUUGUUGAGAGGUGUUAGCUGACCAUGACUGUUUCCUGUCUGGAAUUCCACUGUUUUCUGAGUGUUGUUCUUUAUUUAUUGUUCUUUAUUAAUCAGGACCAGUUAACACCUUCCAACAAAUGAUUCCUCCCAGACAGGAAGCAGCAAGUGCAAGGCUAUUCAAUGCUAAUCAAGCUGGUCAGCUGCAACAUUCACACUUGCCUCCAACAGACAAGAGUUCUUUCUCCCACCCUGGGCAUCAUUCCACAGGGAUAUAUGCAGUCCACUUGCCUAGUUUCCAAUAGACCUCACAACCUCCGAGGAUGCCUGCUAUAGAUGUGGGUGAAACGUCAGGAGAGAAUGCUUCUGGAACAUGGCCAUACAGCCUGGAAAACUCACCGCAACCAAGUUUUUUUUUUAUUUUCUCUGCCAAAGAGUGCUGGAGUCUCACUAAACUACAAUAUCCACUGAUUAAUCCCUAUGGGGAGAAAAGAGGGAUAUGAACAAAGAUGAUCAUAUGAACAAAGAUGAUCACGUCGUGAGUUGGACUCCAGCUUAACUGUGGUUUCAGCGGAGGUAACCGAGGAACCUGUCGGUUCGAUCUUAUGGGAUUCUUUCCGGCUUGUUCUUCCUGAUGACGUGGAGGGGAUUCUUGGGUCUGUGAGGGCGACCACUUGCGCUCUGGAUCCUUGUCCUUCUUGGCUGGUUAAACUGGCCAAAGAUGGGUUGUUGGAGUGGUUUGUGGCUAUAAUAAAUGCCUCCUUGGGUCAGGGAUCAUUUCCAUCCUGUUUUAAACAAGCGGUGGUAAAACCGCUAUUAAAAAAACCCUCGUUAGACCCAUUGGUUUGUGACAAUUACAGACCAAUCUCCAACCUCCCAUUCUUGGGCAAGGUGCUGGAGUGGGUGGUUGCCACGCAGCUCCAGGGGUUUCUCGAUGACACCGAUUUUCUGGACUGCUCGCAGUCUGGCUUCAGGCCUGGGCACAGUACCGAGACGGCUUUGGUCGCCUUGGUGGAUGACCUCCGCAGGGAGCUGGACAGGGGGAGUGUGACCCUGCUGGUUCUCCUGGAUAUCUCAGCGGCUUUCGAUACCAUCGACCAUGGUAUCCUUCUGGGGAGGCUCUCUGGGAUGGGGCUCGGUGGCACAGUUUUGCAGUGGCUCCAGUCCUUCCUGGAGGGCCGUUCCCAGAUGGUGAAGCUGGGGGACACCUGCUCGGACCCCUGGCCAUUGACCUGUGGGGUUCCGCAGGGGUCUAUCUUAUCCCCCAUGCUAUUUAACAUCUACAUGAAACCGCUGGGAGAGGUCAUCCGGAGUUUUGGAGGGCGUUGCCAUCUCUACGCAGAUGACACGCAAAUCCACUACUCGUUUCCAUCUGAUUCCAAGGAAGCCCCUCGGAUGCUGAACCAGUGCCUGGCCGCUGUGGCGGACUGGAUGAGGAGGAACAAGCUGAGAAUCAAUCCUGACAAGACAGAGGCCCUCCUGGUCAGUCGUGCGGCAGAUCGGGGUAUUGGGUGGCAACCUGUGCUGGACGGGGUUGCACUCCCCCUGAAAUCACAGGUCCGCAGUUUGGGGGUCCUCCUGGAUUCAGCGCUGACGCUUGAAGCACAGGUGUCGGCGGUGGCCGGGAGGGCCUUUGCACAACUCAAACUUGUGCGCCAACUGCGACCAUACCUCGUGAAGUCUGACUUGACCACGGUGGUCCAUGCCUUAGUUACCUCUAGACUGGACUACUGUAAUGCACUCUACGUGGGGCUUCCCUUGAAGACGGCCCGUAAAUUACAAUUGGUCCAACGCUCGGCUGCCAGAUUAAUAACAGGGGCAAAUUACAGGGAGAGAUCCACUCCCUUGUUUAAGGAGCUCCACUGGCUGCCAUUCAUCUUCCGGUCCCAAUUCAAGGUGCAGACCAUCAUCUAUAAAGCCCUGAACGGUUUGGGACCUACCUACCUCCGUGAUCGUAUCUCCUUCCAUAAACCUGCCCGUUCUUUGCGAUCAUCCGGGGAGGCCCUGUUAUCACCAUUGCCUAUAUCCCAGGCUCGCCUUGUAAAUACAAGGGAGAGGGCCUUCUCUGCUGUGGCCCCCCGACUGUGGAACUCACUACCUACUGAAAUAAGGCAAGCUCCCACUCUGUUAGCUUUUAGGAAAGAAUUGAAAACAUGGCUCUUCCGUUGUGCUUUCGGUGAGUAAUUUCUGUCAUAUAUCUCCGUAUUACUCCCCUCCGAACAUCUAUCCUCUAGAUUACCCCUUCCAAAUGUCCCUGCCCAUAGUGGAGUACUCCUCUGUCCCUCUCACUCCGGGUUUUAUCUCUGUGUUCAAGCGGCCUGCCCUUGCUUUAUUGUUUUUUUGAUUUCUUGAUGUUCUGUUUAUUAUUAUUUAUUGUAUUUUAAAUGGUGUUAUGAUAUGUUGUUUCUAUAUUUUAUUAUGUUGUAUUGCUCUGGGCAUGGCCCCAUGUUAGCCGCCCCGAGUCCCCAUUGGGGAGAUGGUGGCGGGGUAUAAAUAAAGUUUUAUUAUUAUUAUUAUUAUUAUGAUCAUCAUCAUCAUCAUCAUCAUCAUCAUCAUCAAUGAUUCCAUUGAGCCAAGGUGGUUAAAGUGGUGCCGAACUGCAUGAAUUCUAGAUGCACCCAUAGCUUUUCAAAGUGAGCUUGUCCAAGCAUCCUUCUGCAGGAAGAUGAUUACUUUUAUGGAUCAGCAACAAAGGAGAAAUGGAGUGCUUCAUACUCCAGGCUCAGAGUCUGGUGAACGGGAAACAACACUUUGCAAUUUCAUAUAUCACGUUUGCACUUCCUUCAUGAGCUUCCUAGCAGCCGACUUCAUAACAUUUUACAACGGCUGGGUUUUUAUGGCACACACCUGUUGUCAUAACAUGAAGGAUUGAUACCGUGUCAAGCCCUAGAAGAAGGAUAAAUACUAUAGCAGUCUUAGAAACUUUGACAAUAUAUAUUUGUCAGAAGAGUUAAUACAAUCCCUUGGGGUUUUUUUUCUCAAGCUAACUGAUGUGUCAGUUUUCUUUUAAGUUGGUAAAUACAGUAGAGUCUCACUUAUCCAACACUUACUUAUCCACCGUUCUGGAUUAUCCAACGCAUUUUUGUAGUCAAUUUUUUCAAUACAUCGUGAUAUUUUGGUGCUAAAUUCGUAAAUACAGUAAUUACUACAUAGCAUUACUGCGUAUUGAACUACUUUUUCUGCCAAAUUUGUUGUCUAACAUGAUGUUUUGGUGCUUCAUUUGUAAAAUCAUAACCUAAUUUGAUGUUUAAUAGGCUUUUCCUUAAUGCCUCCUUAUUAUCCAACAUAUUCGCUUAUCCAACAUUCUGCCGGCCCAUUUAUAUUGGAUAAGUGAGACUCUACUGUAACAUGGACCUUGGUUUUCUAUUUGGGAUGAUGACUAACAAGACUUGGCCAUCCAUUCCAUUUUUUAAAAAAUCAUGCAAAUGUAGAGCAAAUAGCAUUUCCCAUUUGUUGUUGUUGUUUCAGGUUUAUGUUAAUGCAAGCCCAAUAUCUGGAAGAGGGACGUAAACAACUGACAGGUUUAUACUGUUAAUAAGUAGGCUUUUUAUAAGCAAAAAUGUACCGGCGUUAUAUCUUGGAAUCCAGUUCAUAAAAAUAUUUCCACCGGCAGGAAAUUUGAGACAAUGAUGGAUUUGCUACAGAAAGUCCCAGCUCUACCUACAAGCUUGGGAUGUAAACCUCAGGGCUUGGAGACAUAAAGUCAGAAGUAAAAUGUUAGGGAAUAAUAGAGUUAGCACCUAGGAUUAUUGGCUAGUCAAGAGAAGUGUGCAUGAUCUAUGGCUUGCUAAUGCGCUUGAAGGGUCGGAAAGCAACACUGAAACUCACAAGCAGGGAGAAGUUGUGAUCAGAGCUGUAGAUAUUAUUUUGUUGACUUCAAGUCAUUUCUAACUUCUGGAGAACAACUUAGUCAUUGGCAUUAUUCGCAAGAUAUAUUAUUUUGAGGUUGAGAGAGUGUGAUCUGCGUGGCAUCAUAGAUUUUGAGGGCUGUGAAUUCAGACCAUAGCCUUUUGAAGUCCUAGCCCAAUGCUCAAACCACUAGAAAAUGGCUGGUAAUUUCUGUAGCAUGGAUAAACCCACUGAUUUUUAAAGUAUCGACGGAAAGUUUAGUGUUGAGCCACUUCUAUAUUUUCAUGGUUUGUUUUUCACAUUGGAUUUUUUAUCACUUUAACUGAUUCUUUUAUCAUGUCAGAAGUAACUUGAGUACAUACUGCAAGUAACUUCUAGUGUGAGAGAAUUGGCGGUCUACAGAGAUGUUGCCCAGGGGAUGCCCUGAUGUGUUACCAUCCUGUUGGGAGGCUUCUCUCAUGCCCCCGCAAGCUAGAGCUGACAGACGGUAGCUCACCCCAUCUCACAGAUUCAAAUUUCAGGUCAGCAACCCAACAUUCAGGUCAGCAGUUCACCCGGCACAAGGAUUUAACUCAUUGUGCUACCAUGGCUCCUUAUUUGAACUAAUGAUAAUAUAUCAAACACAGUCUGGUAUAUCCCUGAUCUUAAAGGUCUGGCUCAUGCAUGGUUAUAUGAAUACAUUUCUACCUGUUGUAGUCAAUCUCUGCUGUGCAUUGUAUUAUUAUUAUUAUUAUUAUUAUUGACACAACGACGUUGUAUGACACAGCAAACAAGAUAGAUAUGCUGGAUUUCGUAUCACAAAACCACAAGUCGAACACUUCCCAAGUGUCUAGGACUGUGUGAUGUAUUUUUGGAUGAUGCGUGCAGAUCCCAGUAGGGUGGCCUUUUGCAGCUGGCAGAUCGUAAUUUUGUCAAUGUCUAUUGUAUACAAAUGCCGGCUGAGAUCUUUAGGCACGGCACCCAGUGUGCCCAUCACCACCGGGACCACCUGCACUGGUUUCUGCCAGAGUCUUUGAAGUUCAAUCUUGAGGUCCUAUAGCGGCUGAGUUUUUCCUGUUGUUUUUCAUCAAUGUGACUGUCACCUGGGAUGGCAACAUCAAUGAUCCAAACCUUGUUCUUUUCUACAAUUGUGAUGUCUGGUGUGUUGUGUUCCAGAACUUUGUCAGUCUGGAUUCGGAAGUCCCACAGUAUCUUUGCGUGUUCAUUUUCCACAACCUUUGCAGGUUUGUGAUCCCACCAGUUCUUUACUGCAGGGAGGUGGUACUUGAGGCAUAAGUUCCAAUGAAUCAUUUGGGCCACAGAGUUGUGCCUCUGUUUGUAGUCUGUCUGUGCAAUUUUCUUACAGCAGCUGAGGAUAUGAUCAAUGGUCUCGUCGGUUUCCUUGCACAGUCUGCAUUUUGGGUCAUCAGCUGAUUUUUCGAUCUUGGCCUUGAUUGCAUUUGUUCUGAUGGCUUGCUCCUGGGCUGCAAGGAUCAGGCCUUCUGUCUCCUUCUUCAGGGUCCCAUUCGUGAGCCAGGUCAUAGCCAGGUCUUCUCCUUAUCAGCUUUUCCUUCAAUUUUGUCAAGGAACUUUCCAUGCAGCUCUAGUUUGUAGUGUGGCUUUCUUGUACUGGUUUUUUGUCUGCUGUGCUUUGAGAAGUUUCUGAUUUUUGACUUCAAUCAAAGCAGGUUCUUCACUUUGCUUUACAUAUUCUGCCAGGGCAUGUUCUUCUUCUUUGACUGCUUGUUUGACUUGUAAGAGUCCUCUGCCCCCUGAUCUUCUAGGCAGAUACAGCCGGUCAACAUCACUGCGAGGGUGCAGGGAAUGAUGCAUGGUCAUGAGUUUUCUUGUUUUUCUGUCCAAAUUGUCCAGUUCCAUCUGUGUCCAGUUUAUGAUGCCAGCAGUAUAUCUUAUGACAGAUAUGGCCCACGUGUUUAUGGCCUUGAUGGUGUUGCCUCCAUUGAGCUUGCUUUUGAAAAUUUUUCUGACCCUUUGUGUGUAUUCUUUGCUGACCACAGUUUUCACAUGUUCAUGCUUGAUGUUGUCCAGUUGCAAUAUGCCCAGAUAUUUAUAGGCCUCUGGCUGGUGACACCUUAUUGUUUGGCCAUUAGGCAUAUUUAUGCCCUCACUUUCAAUGAUUUUUCCCUUCUUCAAUACCACUGUCGAACAUUUGUCCAAACCAAACUCCAUGUUGAUAUCAGUGCUAAAAAUUCGGACAGUGUUGGUCAGAGACUGGAUUUCAGUUUCCAUUUUCCCAUACAGCUUCAGGUCAUCCAUGUACAUCAGAUGCAAAAUUUUGUGAGAAUUCUUAGAUGUUUGAUAGCCGAGAUUUGUUUUUUUGUAAGAUUGUUGACAGAGGGAUCAUGGCAAUAAUGAAAAGCAGAGGGGACAAUGAAUCUCCCUGGAAAAUUCCUCUCCUGAUGUUGACAAGUCCACAGCUUUCAUUUCCAACAAACAGUUCAGUUUUCCAGUGCUCCAUCAUGUUUUCAAUGAAGGUGCCAACGUUUUUACUAAUCCCGAUGGCGUCCAGGCACUUGAUGAUCCAGCUGUGUGGGAGUGAGUCAAAGGCCUUUUUGUAGUCAAUCCACGUCAUGUGAAGAUUAGCUUUUUGGCUCUUACAGUUCUCCAGAAUCAUUUUGUCAAUCAAUAACUGGUCUUUUGUCCCCUGCUUUUCCGUUUGUUGCCUUUCUGUUCAUCUGGCAAGAUGUUUUUUUUCUUCAAGAUAGUCUUGAAUUCUAUCAGCUAUGAUGCCAGUCAGUAGUUUAAACAUAGUGGGCAGACACGUUAUUGGCCUGUAGUUUCCUGGUGCUGCUCCUUUUGCUGGAUCCUUUUGUAUCAGGUAAGUUCUUCCAGUUGUUAGCCAUUCACUGAUACUUCCUUUCUGCAGCAUCUCAUUGAAUUGUUGGGCCAUUUUUCUAUGUAAACUAAUCAGAUGUUUGAGCCAAAAUCCAUGAAGUUGAUCACUACCAGGCAAUGUCCAGUUCUUGACUUUUUGCACUCGUUUGCUGAUCAUUUCAGUUGUUAUUUCCAUCUGUUCCAUUUUGUUCUGUGAGAAUUUUCCUUCAAACUCCUUUAUCCACCCAGCGUUUUUGUUGUAGUUUUUAUUAUUUUACCCAAUGUUCUUUCCAGAACUUCGUUGUUGCAGUUUUCUCUGGCUUUAUGAUUACUGUGUCUGUUGUUUGGUUCAGACUCUGGUAGAACCGUCUUUGGUCUGAUUGAAACAGUUGAUUUUGUCUGUACUGGAUGAUUCUGGUUUCAUAUCUUUCAAUUUUUCUGGUUGUUGCUGUAAUUUGUUCUUUCACGAUUUCCAAAGCUUCUUCAAUUUUUCUGGUGUUCAGCCAGUACUUUCGGAUCAGGUAUUGCUUGAUUUUGUCAUUCUUCAGUUUCUUCUCUUUCAUAUUUUUCAGGUUACUUGCAUCUGAUCUAAGCUUUUUGAUUUUCAACUCUAGCCUGACCUUCCACUUUGGUUUUCCAGUCGAUUUUCUUUGGGGCUGCCUUGGUUGUAGGAGCCCAAGCUCUUCUGUUACUAUCACUGCUGCACUGUAGGCAUACUGGUUUGUUUGUUCAAUUGAUGUUAUUUGGACAGUGGAGAGUACUGUAUUCACAUCUUUCAUGAGAGGCGCCAGGUGUCUCUUGGGCACUGUUUUUAGAGUUGGGAGCCGUUUUCUUAUGGCAUUUGCUGCAGCAUGAGCCAUGAUCUUAUCCUUGAUCUUAUCUUAUGUCUUGCUGUCAAGGUUCCUGGUGGUUCAGCAGAUGUUUCCAGUGCUGGCUCUUCAAAUUCUUGCAAAAGCUCCACCCUUUCUUCUGGUUCAAUCUGUUCCCCCAUUCCAAGUGUUGCUGGAGUUUCUGCUGCUGUCUGUGCUGUGGUCUGAUGGUACUUUACUUUGCAAAUUUUCUGGAUUUCUUCGAGUUCAACUUCACUGAACACUUUGUUUUUGAUUAUGAAUCUUCGUUGGUCAGCCAGUCGGGGUUCUGUUAUCUGUGAGUCAGGGUACUCUUGUUUCCACAGUUGAUGCAUCCUUUUUUGGUAGCCACGCCUUUGAGGUUCAGAUUUGUAGUAGCAUUUCAUAAUUGUGCGGUUUUCUGGCAUUGUAUAUUUCUGCCGUUUCUGUGACUGUUCAUUUGGGUUUUGAUGAUUCCGUAGCCCACUUGUUGAUGGAUGUCCAGAAUCAGCAGCAUCCACCGCGGUCCUUUUUAUCCUGGGCGACGACCGAGCCAGUAUAGACUUUGUUUGGGUUUGAUUCUCCAUAAUGCUAAUGAGUUAGGUGCUCUUGGUUCUGCUCCUCAGCUGAGGCCUCUCUGGCUUGGUUGGACCUGCCAGUAGUUACACUACCGUCAGCACAGCGGUAAUAAUAAUAAUAAUAAUAAUAAUAAUAAUAAUAAUAAUAAUAAUUAUUAUUAUUAUUGUCCUCUAUUUCUCUCCAAAAAGAGAUUCAAAGUGGCUAACAAUGAAAACCCUGACAGUACUAAGUAUUAACUUAUGAUAGUGCAUGGGCAAACUUCGGCCUUCUGGUCGGCUGUUAGGAAUUCUGGGAGUUGAAGUCCAAAACACCUAGAGGGCCAAGGUUUGCCCAUGCUUGGUCUAGAACCGAAGUCUUUGAGCUUCAGGAUUUGGUUUAUGCAUGAUUAUGUUUAGCCCUUUCUCGCUGUUUCUCCUCCCCUCCUCCUCCUGUUGUUGUUAUUAUUACCACUAUAGCCAAUGGCAUAGUGAUCCUUAUAUAAAAUGGCAAACUCAUAAUUUGUUUUGGAUUUAUUGGGGAAUGUUUGGUGGAAUCUGUGGAUGGAGAAUCUGUGGAUACAGAGGCUCAGUGGCUUGAGAGGGAACUGUGGACACCUCACAGGGGUCAAUUGGUUAAGAUGUACAGUAUUCAGGACUGACAUAUCUUAAAAGUAUGGUGGCACUUAAAAUAAAGGCCAUUUACAUCAUCACUUCAGUGCUUAGAAUCUGGAUUUGAUAUGUGCAGAAGAGAUGGCGCCUCUUAGCUCUCACCAUGGGAGCAGCAUCAUCCAUGUGGAGGUUGAGCAAAGUUUGCUUUAAUUAGUUCUCUGUGUACAGAUCAGACAUAUAAUGCAACAGAAUAAAGUGCUGGCCCUUAGGUUAACUCAAUUACUGUGCCUUGUGUCUUAAUUCCAGGGGUUGUGGAGGCAACGCUCCUAUGGGAUCCUACCAUGAUUUGGUCUUGUGCAGUAUUAGCAGGGCCGUCACCCUGGGCUCCUACUUUUAUAUGGCCAAUUAUAAUUUCUCUCUCUCUGCCUGAGCGAAAGAUUGACAUGUCUAUUAACCCUGCACUUUGUAAGACUCCAAAUAUAUUCUUACGAAUAUUAAUGCAUCUUUUCUUUUUUACUUUACCCUAAAUAUCCUAGCAUGACUUCUCCCCCCUUCCCUUUCCGGGCUUUAGAUUGAAAAGCCGCAAGAGAUCAUUCUGAAUUUCCUGGCCUGCGAAAGCAUUUCAUUUGUGAGCGAAGGCUGUGCAUCUGGAAUGGAACUCGGAGCGUUAAGCAGCCUUUAUGAGUUGCAAUUUGCCCACCUUCCGAUGUGUUCUUUAUGUCUCACCGACGGCAGCAUAUUGAAAAUGAAACACAUGGAAUAAUUUGAAAUCCUCGGCUGGAGGUUUUCUCAAGCAUCAAAGCCGCAUUACGCAUCCAACGAAAGCUGCAGGGACCCCCAUUUCUGCAACGAUUGGCUUGGAGGCAGAAGUAAUCGAAGAAAACCUGUCAAAGGUGGCAGCUUUCAAAUUGGCCUCCAUUAUCCAUAUCUGCUGCUGCUGCUCAACUGCAUAGUCGUUACCGACUCUUGGUGACCGCAUGGACCAGUCCAGGCCAGAGCUCCCUGUCAGCCGUCACCGCCCCCAGUUCCUUCAAGGUCAAGCCAGUCACUUCAAGGAUACCGUCCAUCCAUCUUGCCCUUGGUUGGCCUCUCUUCCGUUUUCUUUCCAUUUCCCCCAGUAUCGUGAUCUUCUCCAAGCUUUCCUGUCUCCUCAUGAUGUGGCCAAAAUACUUCAACUUUGCCUCUCAUAUCCUUCCCUCCAGUGAGCAGCCACUGGGCAUUAUUUCCUGGAGGAUGGACUGGUUGGACCUUCUUGCGGCCCAAGGCACUCUCAGGAUUUUCCUCCAGCACCAAAGUUCAAAAGCGUCUAUCUUCCUUCGCUCAGCCUUCCUUAUGGUCCAACUCUCGCAACCAUAGGUUACUACAGGGAAUACCAUUGCUUUGACAAUGCGGAUCUUUGUUGUCAUAUCUAGUCUUCUUUAAAAAAUACCCACAACUUGUUAGAGCAUUUCCUUUUCUCUUGGUUUGGUGGAAGUCGUAUCAGUGGGGAAAGUAAUUCUAAUGUUUUUUAGUCUGAAGAAACUACUGAAGGUUAGUGCCAACAUAAGUUCAGCACCUUGGAGAGUGCCUCGAGGGUUUCCAAUGAAAACAUGGAGUCAAUCAAAGGAGCCCCCGGUGGCACAGCAUGUUAAACGGCUGAGCUGCUGAACUUGCAGGUCGCAGGUUCGAAUCAGAGAGCAGAGUGAGUGCCCGCUGUUAGCCCCAACUUCUGCCAACCUAGGAGUUGGUGCUCAUCUCAAUUUCUAAGCCAAAGAGCCAGCGUUGUCCAUAGAGACCUUCAAGGUCAUGUGGCCGACAUGACUGCAUGGAGUGCUGUUACCUUCCCACUGGAGCGGGUACCUAUUGGUCUACUCACAUGUGCAUGUUUCUGAACUGCUAGAUUGGCAGAAGCUGGGGCUAACAGCAGGAGUUCACCCCACUUCCUGGAUUUGAACCAAGUUCAGGAGCUCAGCGGUUUAAUAUUAAGACUGGGCCCCCUCUCUUGUUCUUUUUAGGUGGCCUAAACCAAGGAAAAAAUUAUGGAAUGCUGGGGUGAAUAUGAUCAGCCAAUGUGAGACCAUGAGUGAGCAGGGACCUAAAGUUAAAAAAAGAUAAGAGUCACAGUGAAGUAGACAAGAGAGAACCACGAUGCAGAUUGCGACUUGGAGACCAGGGCAAGCCACACUCUCAGCCUUCAAAGAAGGUAACAUUCUGGGCAAGGAAUCCUGUGAGAGGUAUGCCUUAGGGUUGCCAUAAGUUGGAGAUUUUUGAGUAUAUCCUCCAGGAAUGGCCAUCCCAUGUUCCAUGAGCUUUUCCAAGUCCUCCUCAAAACCACAAGUUCAGGAGCCUCAUUGCAUCUUGUGAUUCUGAAUGCCAUACUCUCACAACGCACUGGAUAUGGAAGACCUUUAUCCCCUGUGGAAGCCCUUACAAUUGUGUACAAUUUAAGCUCCUUUGCUGAAGAGAUGUUUCUCUUUCUUUUUUUAAAAAAAGGUGUAACUACUACAAAUGCUUUCAAGAUCAAUCAUUGCCCAAAAAAAUCCCCUUCUUCCCAUAUCUUACUUAACUGUUAAUGACUUUUAGAGGCUUUGCAUAAUAUUAUUCGACAGAAAAUCCUGCAAGUGUGCCGGGCGCUUAAUAAAGAAUUUAAGCUCUAAAUCACUUAUUGCAGUUCUGAUGUGUUCUGAGAUGAAGGGAACAUUUGUUUUGCCCUCGAUUCUAAAGCUGAGUUUAAAUAGAUGAUGUCAUUGCUUACAUUUUUCCUUGAGUGAAGAAAGGAAACACUCUCUUUUGAUUGUUCUCAUCAAUUGAGCAAAUACCACCCCAGAACGCUCCUUCACGGAGUUUCAGAGGUGCUUUUAUGAAUAUGUGAGGUAUUUGGAUGUCUCUCAGCACAGGGAAAACCAAUUAGAUUGAUCCAAACAUAGUCAUAGCGUGAAAGCAUAGGACUGGGAGAGACCCUCAAGGGUCAUCCAGUCCAACCCCCUUCAGCCAGGCAGGAAGACACAAACCAAACUCUCCUAACAGAUGUUUAUCCAGACUUGUUUUGGGGCCAUGAUGGCUCAAUGGGUUAAAUCCUUGUGCUGCUGAACUGCUGACCUAAAGUUUGGCAGUUUGAAUCUGUGGGAUGGGGUGAGCUCCCUCUGAUAACCCUAGCUCUUGCCAAGCUAGCACUUCGAAAACAUGCAAAUGUUAACAUGUUUUAUAUUGGAUUGUAUUUUAAUUAUGGUUUUAUGUCUGUCUCCGUUUUAACAAUUUAUUUUAUGUUUAUGUUUUAUGCUCAAGGCACCGAACAAGUGCUGUCUAUAUGCCUGUUGCACCUCAGGUUAGUUUCACCUUGCUGAACACACCAGGCUGUACACAGGUUGAAGUCUUUUGUAGUUUAUUAGGAAAUAGGAAGUAAAUAGUUCUUAAAAAGCAAAAGUAAAGAUCCAAAAGAUUGUUGCAAAACCAAGGCUAUAAAGAUUAAUCCAAGAAUACAUAAGUCAUAAAACAAGGUUCCAUGAAUGCAUGACAAAGUCCAUAAACUUGAAUACACAUAGCUGCAAGGUAAUCCAGGAAUGACAAAGUCCCAUGAACUUGACUACACAAAGCUGCAAGGUAAUUCAGGAAAGCAAGAGCUUGCUUCUACACUCCAAAACGAGAAGUUGCUUUUGACAAAGGUUUCUCUCUCAGCACACCCUUUAAUAUUCUCUGCACAGCAUGAAUGCAUUUCUUUGCCCUCUGACCUCUUUCUUGUUUGCUAUUCUAACACUCCUGCGAACCCAAAAUUCCAAACGGCCAGCUCAAUCCAGAGAUUCUGUUUUGUCAAGGCCAGACAGCUCACUAGCAGCAGCCUCUGUCUGCACGUUAUCUCCCUUUGCACCUGGCUAGCUUCGGUAUCAUCUUCAGUAUCAACAACACCAUUCUCUGCCAUGGGAAUGCCUCCCUGCUCCUCAUCUCUCACAGCAGGGACACUCUGAACCUGAAUCCCAUAAUUCCCAUCAGAGUCAUCUUGAACCUGAAUACCAUCAUCUUGAACAUCUGAAACCUGAAUUCCACAAUCCCCUUCAGAGUCACUCUGAGACUCCAGCUGAGUCACAACAAUGCCGCCUAGAAUCCCCCUCGGGGUAGAGAAAGGUGGGAUAUAAAUAUGGUAAAUAAAUAAAUAAAUAAAUAGUGAAUAGAUUCACUUUGGUGGAAUAAAGGCAAAAAGACGCUCCAAGCAGUCUUGCUGGCCACACAACCAGGAGGUGUCUAUGGACAAUGCAGGCUCCUAGGCUUGGAAAUGGAGAAGAACACCUCCCCCAGUGACAGAGAUGAGCACCACCUCCAGAGCCGGAAAUGAAAUGAGAAGCCUUUGCUUUUGUCUGUGUAUUUGUGUCUCAUUGUAUGUCACUGUAUCAAGGCAUUGGAUGUUUGCCUUGUCUGUUUAUAUACUGUAAUCCUUUCUGAGUCUCCUUGGGGAGAAGGGCGGAAUAUAAAUAAAAUGUUGUUGCUGCU